UAGGGAAUCUUCCACAAUGGACGCAAGUCUGAUGGAGCAACGCCGCGUGAGUGAAGAAGGGUUUCGGCUCGUAAAGCUCUGUUGGUAGUGAAGAAAGAUAGAGGUAGUAACUGGCCUUUAUUUGACGGUAAUUACUUAGAAAGUCACGGCUAACUACGUGCCAGCAGCCGCGGUAAUACGUAGGUGGCAAGCGUUUCCGGGAUUUAUUGGGCGUAAAGCGGGUGCAGGCGGUUCAAUAAGUCUGAUGUGAAAGCCUUCGGCUCAACCGGAGAAUUGCAUCAGAAACUGUUGAACUUGAGUGCAGAAGAGGAGAGUGGAACUCCAUGUGUAGCGGUGGAAUGCGUAGAUAUAUGGAAGAACACCAGUGGCGAAGGCGGCUCUCUGGUCUGCCAACUGACGCUGAGGCUCGAAAGCAUGGGUAGCGAACAGGAUUAGAUACCCUGGUAGUCCAUGCCGUAAACGAUGAGUGCUAAGUGUUGGGAGGUUUCCGCCUCUCAGUGCUGCAGCUAACGCAUUAAGCACUCCGCCUGGGGAGUACGACCGCAAGGUUG
rnacentral:rRNA from 1 species